GGGCCCGUAGCUCAAUGGUUAGAGCUGGCGGCUCAUAACCGCUUGGUUCCAGGUUCGAGUCCUGGCGGGCCCACCA
rnacentral:tRNA from 1 species